GGUAGCUCAGUUGGAUAGAGCAAUCGCCUUCUAAGCGAUCGGUCAGGGGUUCAAAUCCCUUCC
rnacentral:tRNA from 1 species